GAUGAAGAACGUAGCGAAAUGCGAUAAGUAAUGUGAAUUGCAGAAUUCAGUGAAUCAUCGAAUCUUUGAACGCACAUUGCGCCCCCUGGAAUUCCGGGGGGCAUGCCUGUUCGAGCGUCUCAGGGACGAACCCUCGCGCGGGUGUACGCGCGGUCGUGGCUGCGGUGGCGUGCCCGAGGCGGCGGCCACCGCGCUGGAAUCCAUGGGCGGACGCCUGCCGCGUGGCCGAGCGUGAUAUGACGCAUUGGCGCUCGCACGCGGCGAGGCUGCCAGCCCUGGCCCGUCUGUCGGGCGGGGGAUAGCAAGACACGUGAACUCCUCGAAUCAGGUAGGGAUACCCGCUGAACUUAAGCAUAUCAAUAAGCGGAGGA
rnacentral:misc_RNA from 1 species